UACGUAGGGUGCGAGCGUUAAUCGGAAUUACUGGGCGUAAAGCGUGCGCAGGCGGUGAGCUGUGUCCGAUGUGAAAGCCCCGGGCUUAACCUGGGAAUGGCAUUGGAAACUGGCUCGCUGGAGUGUGGCAGAGGGGGGUGGAAUUCCGCGUGUAGCAGUGAAAUGCGCAGAGAUGCGGAGGAACACCGAUGGCGAAGGCAGCCCCCUGGGCUAACACUGACGCUCAGGCACGAAAGCGUGGGGAGCAAACAGG
rnacentral:rRNA from 1 species